rnacentral:lncRNA from 1 species
UAAAAAUAUCGGGCUAAACUAGACCCUAAGUAGAACCUAAAAACACCAAAAAACGAAGGGGUCACCAUGGAAAAUUUUCAAUAAAAAAUUAAUGAAAACCCAGGUUAUGGGUUAAUCCUAUGGAAAUCGAAACUGCUUAAUAAAAAAUUAAGGAAUUAAUGGAUUUUUCAGAUUCAGGUGUCCGCGAGGAUAAGGAUUAAAAUGUAUUAAAAAUUUUGAGAAUCGGUUAAGAAUUUCAAAAGUUAUUCACGAAAAACGAAAUUCAAAAUUUUCCAAUGGUAACUCUAUGGGGGAAGGAAACUACCCGAUGGAACGAAUUCCAACGGGUAAAACGAAAAAAGACAGACACAAACAGACACAGACACUCACCAAAACACACCAGGAACAAAAAUUUGGCAGUAGGAACCCCUAAAAACAGUAAAAAAAAUCCAAAAGCAGAAGCAGCUGAAAACACGUCUGCACUCUACAACAGACAAGCAGUGACUGGUCGGCGUACGCGUAUCGUCAACUGCGAGUCGAAUCUUGUACGCGUCUAUGACGAU